CAAGGACUUCAAUUCUUAUGGUAGCCGUCGUGGUAAUGAUGAAGUGAUGGCAAGAGGAACUUUUACAAAUAUCCGUAUUGUCAACACGCUAUUAAUGGGGAAGUUGGCCCAAAGACACUUCAUGUUCCUACAGGGGAGAAACGCUAUGUGUUUGAUGCAGCAGCAGUCAGUUCUUUAAAUAGGUACAAGGCUGCUGGACAGGAUACUAUUGUAUUGGCUGGAGCAGAGUAUGGAAGUGGAAGCUCUCGUGAUUGGGCUGCUAAAGGCCCAAUGUUGUUGGGAGUUAAAGCAAUGAUUGCAAAGAGUUUU